AAAGCGAUUCGGGUAGCAGCAGUGGGUCAGAAUCUGGCUCAGACUAUUAAGGACUUAAUGUAACGACUCGCGAUCCUGCCGCCGCAUCAGCUCAUGGUUAAGGAAUACUUUUGGGUCCGAAACCAGUUGGGCUAUCCCAAUAAAUACACGUGAGCAAACCGAUAUUAAAUAAAUAAUUAUAAAUUCGA